GUCCACGCCGUAAACGAUGGAUACUAGCUGUUCGAUUUUCGGAUUGAGUGGCUAAGCGAAAGUGAUAAGUAUCCCACCUGGGGAGUACGUUCGCAAGAAUGAAACUCAAAGGAAUUGACGGGGGCCCGCACAAGCGGUGGAGCAUGUGGUUUAAUUCGAUGAUACGCGAGGAACCUUACCAGGGCUUAAAUGUAGUGGGACAGGCUGGGAAACCGGCUUUUCUUCGGACUCAUUACAAGGUGCUGCAUGGUU
rnacentral:rRNA from 1 species